rnacentral:rRNA from 1 species
GACGAAGGUGGCUAGCGUUGUUCGGUAUUACUGGGCUUAAAGCGUGUGUAGGCGGAAGAGUAAGCGCCUUGUGAAAUCCCUCGGCUUAACCGAGGAAUUGCUUGGCGAACUGCUUUUCUUGAGGCAAGUAGGGGUGCAUGGAACUCUUGGUGGAGCGGUGGAAUGCGUAGAUAUCAAGAGGAACGCCGGUAGUGAAAACGGUGCACUGGGCUUGUUCUGACGCUGAGACACGAAAGCGUGGGUAGCGAACGGGAUUAGAUACCGGGUA